UACAGAGGUCCCGAGCGUUGUUCGGAUUCACUGGGCGUAAAGGGCUCGUAGGCGGCCAACUAAGUCAGACGUGAAAUCCCUCGGCUUAACCGGGGAACUGCGUCUGAUACUGGAUGGCUUGAGAUUGGGAGAGGGAUGCGGAAUUCCAGGUGUAGCGGUGAAAUGCGUAGAUAUCUGGAGGAACACCGGUGGCGAAGGCGGCAUCCUGGACCAACACUGACGCUGAGGAGCGAAAGCCAGGGGAGCAAACGGG
rnacentral:rRNA from 1 species